UACGAAGGGUGCAAACGUUGCUCGGAAUCAUUGGGCGUAAAGCGCACGUAGGCGGCUAUCUAAGUCGGAUGUGAAAUCCCUCGGCUUAACCAAGGAAGUGCAUCCGAAACUGGAUAGCUUGAGUACUGAAGAGGAUCGCGGAAUUCCCGGUGUAGAGGUGAAAUUCGCAGAUAUCAGGAGGAACACCGAUGGCGAAGGCAGCUCGCUGGGACGGUACUGACGCUGAGGCGCGAAAGCUAGGGGAGCGAACGGG
rnacentral:rRNA from 1 species